CGCCUUCCGUUCCUUUUGAUCCUCUUCCAAUGGCAAUAUUUUCUCAACGAAUUCUUCCUUUCCUGCUUCCUCCUCCUUACCACUGCUAUUCUCCCUGGAGCAUUCUUCUUCCUUGUUGCCACCAUUAUUCUCACCCACCCCAUCUUCAAUUGCAUCUCCACUCCCACUCAUUCUAUCAUUGGAAACCUUCUCACAAUCUGACAUCUCAUCAACUUCCUUCCCUGCAUCUUUUUCUGUCUCAUGGCUCGAAGGAGAUCCAGCUUCUGUUUUCCCCUCAGAAGCAAUUUCAUUCUUCACCUCUGCUACAUUUUCUGACACUGCUUUCCCUUC
rnacentral:lncRNA from 1 species